UAUAGCGCAGUGGUUAGCACGCACCCCCGGAAAGGGUGAAAUUCGGGUUCAACACCCGCACGAGAUCAU